rnacentral:rRNA from 1 species
AGCGGCAGGCCUAACACAUGCAAGUCGAGGGGUAACAUAGAAGAGCUUGCUUUUCUGAUGACGACCGGCGCACGGGUGCGUAACGCGUAUGCAACCUACCUCUUACUGGAGGAUAGCCCGAAGAAAUUCGGAUUAAUACUCCAUAGUAUUUCUUUCUCACCUGAGAUUGAAAUUAAAGGUUACGGUAAGAGAUGGGCAUGCGUCCUAUUAGCUAGAUGGUAAGGUAACGGCUUACCAUGGCUACGAUAGGUAGGGGGCCUGAGAGGGUGAUCCCCCACACUGGUACUGAGACACGGACCAGACUCCUACGGGAGGCAGCAGUGAGGAAUAUUGGGCAAUGGAGGCAACUCUGACCCAGCCAUGCCGCGUGCAGGAAGACGGUCCUAUGGAUUGUAGACUGCUUUUAUUUGUGAAUAAACUCCGGUACGUGUACCGGCCUGAAUGUAGCAAAUGAAUAAGCACCGGCUAACUCCGUGCCAGCAGCCGCGGUAAUACGGAGGGUGCAAGCGUUAUCCGGAAUCAUUGGGUUUAAAGGGUCCGCAGGCGGAUGUAUAAGUCAGUGGUGAAAUCCUACAGCUUAACUGUAGAACUGCCAUUGAUACUGUACAUCUUGAAUUCGGUCGAAGUGGGCGGAAUAUGUCAUGUAGCGGUGAAAUGCUUAGAUAUGACAUAGAACACCGAUAGCGAAGGCAGCUCACUAGGCCUGGAUUGACGCUCAGGGACGAAAGCGUGGGUAGCGAACAGGAUUAGAUACCCUGGUAGUCCACGCCGUAAACUAUCAAUACUCGUUUUCGGCGAUAUACAGUCGGAGACUAAGCGAAAGUGAUAAGUAUUGCACCUGGGGAGUACGAUCGCAGGUUGAACCUCAAAGGAAUUGACGGGG